GUUUUUUUUUAUUAUUUCGCUUUAUUUAAUAAUAAAAUCAAAAUGAUCAAAUCUUUUCUUAAACUAAUAAUUUGUCUAUUAUUAUUACAUUCGGCAGAAAAAUAAUACAAAUUAAGUUUAUUUCAGUAUAAAAAUUAUAAUUCUAAAAAUUCAUAUGUAUAUAUAAAAGUAAAAUUAGUAACAUCAACUUAAAACUAAUGUGUAAUGUUGAAAAGGAGUCCGUUUCCAAUGCGACUCUGUAACAGCAAACAUGCAUACUAACCAAAAAUGUACAAACCAUUUAUUUAGCAGCAACAAACAGGUCUAUGAUUUUUUCACUUUAACUGUUCAUUCCUGUUAAAUACUUUGAAUAAAGCGGAAUCUCAACAGGUUAUGGGCCCAGGCACUAUCGCAAUGAGUUCCAUGUAUCAGAUUGAAAAGUUAACCUGCCUUCCCUUGAGAUAUUAAAAAUAAAGUUAUUAGAGGAAGGAGAUCACAGGGGCACUUCAUCUAAAACAGAUCAUUACAGUGAACAACAGGCGUUUCAAGCAACCACGAAGCCGAUGGAGAAAAAGCGAGAGGAGAAGAGUCAUAUGAAAUGUUACAAAUGUGGUCAACGGGGUCAUACAAAAAUCAAUGCAGAAAUAAAGGAAAAGAAAAAUCGACAGAAUCGCAACAACAACAUAUGUCAUUUACAGUUUUAGCAGCGACAGAUGUGGGUGACUUAAAACACUCGAGUUGGUUCCUGGACAGCGGGGCGACGGCACAUAUGAGUGGCUCCCGUAAUAUUUUUACAAAUUAUGUCACACAAGCAGAGGAUGUUAUGUUGGCCGACAACAACAUUAUACGCGCAGUAAGCAGAGGCGACGUUAUAGUUCAAACAGAUUUUUGUGAGUUAAGGUUGGAGAACGUAUUGCAUGUCCCGCAAAUGAAGGGGAACUUUGUAUCGGUGAGUCGAGCUGUCGAACGUGGCUGUACAGUAAGCUUUAACAACGAAAACGCUAUCGUAAGUCAGAAUGGCAAACAAAUUUUAAAAGCAGAAAAAAGAAAUAAAUUGUUUGUAUUUGAGUGUAUUAACAACGCGUGUUUUGGUGCAGCACAGUGCAGCGCAGAAGUUUGGCAUAAUAGAUAUGCCACUUAAAUUAUGGCAGUUUGAUGAAGCUAACAAAAAAUAAAAUGGUGUUUGGCAUAGAAAAUGUGAAGUUCGCAGACAGUACGCAGUGUAAAACGUGUAUGAAAAGUAAAAUCCACACUCAACCGUUUCCAGCGGCGUCUGAUACCGACGUAUGCGGCCCAUUUGAAAAGCGUUCUCUUGGCGGCUCAUCAUAUUUUUUAACGUUCAUCGAUGACAUGUCUCGGCGUAUUUUCACAUUUUUUCUCAAGUCUAAAGAUGAGGUGUUUGAAAAUUUCGUAACUUUCAAGAAAAUGGUCGAAUGCCAGAUUGGGCGGAAAAUCAAGGUUUUACGGAGCGACAACGGCCGAGAAUACAUCAACAAGCGUUUCGAUGACUUCCUAAAACAACAGGGCAUAACGCGUCAGCUGACGGUACCCUACAGUCCCCAACAGAACGGCGUCGCAGAACGAGUGAACCACACUCUUGUUGAAAUGGCAAGAAGUUUACUUGUACACUCAAAUAUGCCAGCGUUUCUAUAGGCAGAGGCGGUGCAGACAGCUUGCUAUAUCCGCAACAGAUCGCCAACUGCAGCAUUUAUUGGCAUGAAACCAUAUGAAGUUUGGAGUGGUAGAAAACCGAAUGUAAAAAAUAUGCGUACAUUUGGGUCCGUGGCUGUUGGCUUAGACAAAACGCGAAAAAAUAAAUUCCAUGCGAAAGGUAAAGAGUACAGAUUCGUUGGGUACUCCUUGGCAUCAAAAGCUUACAGACUCUACGAUCAAGAGAAGCAUCAAAUUGUAGAAAAACGUGAUUUUUUGUUCUAUGAACAUUUCAAAGAAUCCCAGUCAGAUGAUCAAAUCGUUUUUGAUGAAUUACAGGAAAUUUUGCCAGCUGAUUCAAAUCCUAAUGAAGAAACAUUUAUUCCAUGCAGAAGUGAAGUUAAACAGGAGAAACGUAUGUACAAUGAAGAAAGCGACGAACACGGCAGAGCAUAUGAGCCAGAGCUGGAGCAGAAACGUAAGAUAGGACCAGGUAGGCCAAGAAUUAUUCAAAGCGGUAUACCAGGACGUCCGAACAAGAGCUACAUUGUUGUGCAGGCAGUGCAAUCUGUAGAGAUACCAUUACCACAGACGUUUAAAGAGGCAGGCGGCUAUGGACGCAGAGUAUAAGGCAUUGAUGGCAAUUGGCACGUGGACUGUGGCAGACUUACCAAAUCGUGAACAAGUAAUUGGGAGUAAAUGGGUUUACACAGUUAAAAGAGAUAAAACUGGCGCAGUUGAGCGGUACAAAGCACGUUUGGUAGCCAAGGGGUGCUCGCAGAAGUUCGGCGUGAACUAUAACGAAACAUUUUCUCCGGUGUGUCGAUAUGAAACGAUACGCUUGAUACUCGCGCUUUCUGUCGAGCUGAAGUUACACUUGCAUCAGAUGGACGUUUGUACAGCUUAUCUCAACAGCGAGUUAAAAGACGUGAUCUACAUGAAGCAACCUGAAGGGUAUGUAGACAGAACGUGUGGCGAAAAAGUGUUACGAUUAAACAAAGCGAUUUACGGCUUAAAGCAAGCUGGAAGGGAGUGGAACUCCAAACUGAGCGCGGUGCUGUGUGAAGUCUGUAUAAAAAGGACAUAGAAGCGUGCCAGAAGAAGUCUGAUUUAAUACAAAUUAAAACAAUGAUCUCAAGCAAGUUUGAAUGCGUUGAUAAAGGCCCACUUCAGAUGUUCUUGGGUAUGCAGAUUCAGCGCGAUGGCGAUACAGGCGACAUUUCAAUGAA